GUGAGAGCGUAGCAGUGAGACAGUGGGGGAUAAGCUUCAUUGUCGAGAGGGAAACAGCCCAGACCACCAACUAAGGCCCCUAAGCGUGUGCUAAGUGGGAAAGGAUGUGGAGUUGCUUAGACAACCAGGAGGUUGGCUUAGAAGCAGCCACCCUUUAAAGAAAGCGUAAUAGCUCACUGGUCGAGUCGGCCUGCGCGGAAGAUUUAACGGGGCUCAAACCAUACACCGAAGCUACGGGUAUCACGUAAGUGAUGCGGUAGAGGAGCGUUCUGUAAGCCUGUGAA
rnacentral:rRNA from 11 species